ensembl:sense_intronic
UGAGACAGGGUUUCUCUGUAUAGCCCUGGCUGUCCUGGAACUCACUUUGUAGACCAGGCUGGCCUCGAACUCGCCUGCCUCUGCCUCCUGAGUGCUGGGAUUAAAGGCGUGCACCACCACGCCUGGCCCAUUACUUUAUUUUUUGGUUUUUUUUUUUUGUUUGUUUGUUUUUUUUUAACUUUAUGGGUAUGGGUGUUUUACCUAUAUGUAUAUCUGUGUACCAGGGUCCCACAGACCCCUUCAAGGACACACUCCAGGAAGAUGCAAAGGUUCUAUCACCUCUGAAUUACACUGAGCUGGAGACCAAUCCUUUAAC